ACAUNGCAAGUCGAGCGAAUCGANGGGAGCUUGCUCCCUGAGAUUAGCGGCGGACGGGUGAGUAACACGUGGGCAACCUGCCUAUAAGACUGGGAUAACUUCGGGAAACCGGAGCUAAUACCGGAUACGUUCUUUUCUCGCAUGAGAGAAGAUGGAAAGACGGUUUACGCUGUCACUUAUAGAUGGGCCCGCGGCGCAUUAGCUAGUUGGUGAGGUAAUGGCUCACCAAGGCGACGAUGCGUAGCCGACCUGAGAGGGUGAUCGGCCACACUGGGACUGAGACACGGCCCAGACUCCUACGGGAGGCAGCAGUAGGGAAUCUUCCGCAAUGGACGAAAGUCUGACGGAGCAACGCCGCGUGAACGAAGAAGGCCUUCGGGUCGUAAAGUUCUGUUGUUAGGGAAGAACAAGUACCAGAGUAACUGCUGGUACCUUGACGGUACCUAACCAGAAAGCCACGGCUAACUACGUGCCAGCAGCCGCGGUAAUACGUAGGUGGCAAGCGUUGUCCGGAAUUAUUGGGCGUAAAGCGCGCGCAGGUGGUUCCUUAAGUCUGAUGUGAAAGCCCACGGCUCAACCGUGGAGGGUCAUUGGAAACUGGGGAACUUGAGUGCAGAAGAGGAAAGUGGAAUUCCAAGUGUAGCGGUGAAAUGCGUAGAGAUUUGGAGGAACACCAGUGGCGAAGGCGACUUUCUGGUCUGUAACUGACACUGAGGCGCGAAAGCGUGGGGAGCAAACAGGAUUAGAUACCCCUGGUAGUCCACGCCGUAAACGAUGAGUGCU
rnacentral:rRNA from 1 species